rnacentral:rRNA from 1 species
AGCGGACAGAUGGGAGCUUGCUCCCUGAUGUUAGCGGCGGACGGGUGAGUAACACGUGGGUAACCUGCCUGUAAGACUGGGAUAACUCCGGGAAACCGGGGCUAAUACCGGAUGGUUGUUUGAACCGCAUGGUUCAAACAUAAAAGGUGGCUUCGGCUACCACUUACAGAUGGACCCGCGGCGCAUUAGCUAGUUGGUGAGGUAACGGCUCACCAAGGCAACGAUGCGUAGCCGACCUGAGAGGGUGAUCGGCCACACUGGGACUGAGACACGGCCCAGACUCCUACGGGAGGCAGCAGUAGGGAAUCUUCCGCAAUGGACGAAAGUCUGACGGAGCAACGCCGCGUGAGUGAUGAAGGUUUUCGGAUCGUAAAGCUCUGUUGUUAGGGAAGAACAAGUACCGUUCGAAUAGGGCGGUACCUUGACGGUACCUAACCAGAAAGCCACGGCUAACUACGUGCCAGCAGCCGCGGUAAUACGUAGGUGGCAAGCGUUGUCCGGAAUUAUUGGGCGUAAAGGGCUCGCAGGCGGUUUCUUAAGUCUGAUGUGAAAGCCCCCGGCUCAACCGGGGAGGGUCAUUGGAAACUGGGGAACUUGAGUGCAGAAGAGGAGAGUGGAAUUCCACGUGUAGCGGUGAAAUGCGUAGAGAUGUGGAGGAACACCAGUGGCGAAGCGACUCUCUGGUCUGUAACUGACGCUGAGGAGCGAAAGCGUGGGGAGCGAACAGGAUUAGAUACCCUGGGUAGUCCACGCCGUAAACGAUGAGUGC